AGAUCAGGGAAACAAAGAAACAUCUUCCAGAAACUGAGAGGAAAUAUGUUUCUCUCUGAUGAAGAUCCUAAAUUAAAGGAGAACAUCAAAACAGUUGAACAGCUUAGUGAAAAUUUAAAUGACACCCAUCAGUGUGCACAUACUAACAUGCAAUCUGAGAAAAAGAAGAAUGUCAAGAAUCAGGACAAGUUGCAAGAUGUAUUCGAGGAUCCAGAACUGAGAGUUUUGAGGUCCAAGAAAUGUGAUCUGGAAGGUAUGUUGUUUUGUGGGAAGAAAUCCCCAUGUGGUGGCAAUGAGUGUGCAUUAGGAAGGGAAAGAAUACUUUCCUGCCCUCAAGGUCCUUGCCCAGAAUUCUUCUUCCCCAUCACAAGCAAGUUCUCAGGUCAUGUGCACACACAGAGAAGAAUACCAUUAUUUACAGAAAGUAAAAAGGUCCUGGAAGACAAGUGCAAUGCAUUGAGUUCUGUGAAAACAAUGAAGGAAGCAGAAUUGAAACAGCUGAAGAAGAAAGUAGAUACCUUGGUUGAAAUGGUUGAAUUCUAUGAACAAAAAAGAAUGGCUGCAGCAGAGUAA
rnacentral:lncRNA from 12 species